AUCAUUUGGAAAUCUUAUUAAAAUGCAGAUUCUGGUUGAGCAGGCCUUGGAAGAGGCCCAAGAUUCUGCAUUUCUAAUGAGCUCCCAGGUGAUGCUGA
rnacentral:pre_miRNA from 1 species